AUUGAACGCUGGCGGCAUGCCUUACACGUGCAAGUCGAACGGCAGCACGGGAGCAAUCCUGGUGGCGAGUGGCGAACGGGUGAGUAAAGUAUCGGAACGUGCCCAGUCGUGGGAGAUAACGUAGCGAAAGUUACGCUAAUACCGCAUACGAUCUAUGGAUGAAAGCGGGGGAUCGCAAGACCUCGCGCGAUUGGAGCGGCCGAUAUCAGAUUAGGUAGUUGGUGGGGUAAAGGCUCACCAAGCCGACGAUCUGUAGCUGGUCUGAGAGGACGACCAGCCACACUGGGACUGAGACACGGCCCAGACUCCUACGGGAGGCAGCAGUGGGGAAUUUUGGACAAUGGGCGAAAGCCUGAUCCAGCCAUGCCGCGUGCAGGAUGAAGGCCUUCGGGUUGUAACUGCUUUUGUACGGAACGAAAAGGUUUGGCCUAAUAAGCUGAGCUCAUGACGGUACCGUAAGAAUAAGCACCGGCUAACUACGUGCCAGCCGCCGCCGUAA
rnacentral:rRNA from 1 species